AAACUUCAAGCCCCACACGGUCAGAUCCACUUUUUUCCAUGCUUCAAAGGUUCCACAACCUCUCAAAACUGUGCCACCAGCUGGAGACCAAAUGUUCAAACACAUGAAUCCUUAGGGGGUAUUUUACAUGCAGAACGUCACAGGUACAGACUGGAACAUCCUAGGGUCACUGUCCACAAGCCUUGCCUUGACGUUGGGCAGACAGAUGUAAACAUCCCUUUUUAGGUGACAUCUGAUUCCCAAUGUCUGUUCAGUCUGAAGUGUUUAACCUUCUUGGGUAAAAGAGGAAAACUCGCCCCAGCACUCCGCAAUUCAGUGCCUGUGCCUUGGAGAUCAGUGAUGAAAGACAGAAGUGUUGACCGUGUGCCCAUGUGGAGGUCUUCAGAGAACAGGGGACUCAAAGUAGCCGACUCAUGAAAGCUCAUCUUCCAGGCUCUUCUUGAUAGUUACUUGGAAGCCUACCAGCACACCUUGGACCCUGAAGAACGGCUUGCUCUAGCACAAGCCAUGACUGACAUUAUGCACCGACGCCCUAAGUUGGAUUUCAGCCACUCGUAUUUCACUAAGGCCUACCAAGACGACUGUACCUGCCUGAGGCUCCACCUGCAGCUAGUGAGGAGCAUCCUCAGCUACCACUUAGAGCAGCAGCAGGAGUACGUCCAGAGUCUCUGGCGAGGGGAUCAUCCUGAGGCUCCCAAGACGUUCGGUCUUCCCCUGAACAU
rnacentral:lncRNA from 1 species